rnacentral:lncRNA from 1 species
AUGGGGAGAGGGAUUUCUCCAAGAGACAAAGACCGGGGAGACGCGCGGGGUAACACUUCCACAAUAUUUACAGGCAAAGGCACCACCCCCAGGCCUCUUCCUUCCCCACCUCAAGCCAUCCGGAGCAAUUCUGGGCAGAUGGGGGCAGUGGGGGAGGGGGAGAGGCAAGCCGGGGCCCACCGUGGAGGCAGGAGGGGCAGUGGCGUCCGCGGGCCAGAGGUCCCACCCCAUCCGAGGCCGGGGCAGGGAGGGGGCGGCCCGGGGCUCCAGGGAGGAGGGGGCCCGCCGGGCAGACCCCUCCCGCCUCCGCCGGCGACGAGAAAUAUCGCGAUAACUCUCCCCCCAUCUCCAUCCUGCUCACUCCUCCGGGGCUUCCCCCCGAGCCCGGGUCAGAGGAUCGGGGACCCCAGUUACCCGGCGGCCGCUCCUACCUUCCCUAGAGUCAAACUUUCGGCGGGGCCCAAGGAGGGGUGUUCCGGGGAAAGAGGCUCCGCCGGGGUGGCUCGGGGAGGGGGCGGGGCGCCCAGUCCCGGGCCAGGGGGGGAAAGGGACCCGCUGGGGGGGUGCCCGGAAGGCCGGAGACCCCGGGCGAGGAGGAGCGCCCUCCCCCGGCCCCGCGGCGAUCGAAAAGCCCUGUCGCCCGGCCCCCGGCCUCAAGUCCUGGCGCGUCUACGACGCCCCGGUGCCCACGGAAGGAGCGGAGCGCGCCCCCUCCCCAAACCCGAGGGGGCGGUAGGGCAGGGCCAGGGGCCGCCCGGCUCGCGGGGCCGGCCGGGGGGGCAGAGACCCGGCGCGGCGCGGAGCCCGCAGCCCCCGCGGCGGCCUCGGACCCUCCCCCUCGCUACCUUGGGAGCAGGUCUGCGAGGGGGCUGCGGCACAAAGAGGUGGUGGUCGAGGGAGACGCCAAAUCGCUACAAGGGGGAAUCCGCUUCGGCCAUCUUGGAAGGGAGGAAAGGGAAAAGGGGAGAGAAAAGGGAGAAAGAAAGGCGGACGGGGCGAGCCAGGAUAGGGGCUGGCGGGGUGGGGCGGGGACGCGAGGAGCAGGCCCGGCUCAGAGUCUCCCCCUCCCACAGGGGUGUGUAA